rnacentral:rRNA from 1 species
UCAUGAAAGUCUUCGGACGCCUUUAGUUGAGCCUGCGUUAGAUUAGCUUGUUGGUAAGGUAAGAGCUUACCAAGGCGAUGAUCUAUAGCCGAGCUGAGAGGCUGAUCGGCCACAUUGGAACUGAGACACGGUCCAGACUCCUACGGGAGGCAGCAGCUAAGAAUCUUCCGCAAUGGUCGCAAGACUGACGGAGCGACGCCGCGUGAACGAUGAAGGCCCUUCGGGUUGUAAAGUUCUUUUAUAAGAGACGAAUGUUUGAUGCAGGUCAAUCUGACUGUAUCUUAUGAAUAAGGUCCGGCUAACUACGUGCCAGCAGCCGCGGUAAUACGUAGGGACCUAGCGUUGUUCGGAAUUAUUGGGCGUAAAGGGUAUGUAGGCGGUUUAAUAAGUCAGAUGUGAAAUCCUCGGGCUCAACCUGAGGUCUGCGUCUGAUACUGUUAAACUUGAGUUACGGAGAGGAAGACGGAAUUCCCGGUGUAGGGGUGAAAUCUAUAGAUAUCGGGAAGAACACCAGUAGCGAAGGCGGUCUUCUGGACGUUAACUGACGCUAAUGUACGAAAGGUAGGGUAGCAAACAGGAUUAGAGACCCUGGUAGUCCUACCUGUAAACGUUGUAUACUAGGUGGUGGUUGUAUUGAUCCGAUCACUGCCGCAGCAAACGCAUUAAGUAUACCGACUGGGGAGUAUGCCGGCAACGGUGAAACUCAAAGGAAUUGACGGGGGCCCGCACAAGCAGUGGAGCAUGUUGUUUAAUUCGAUGAUACGCGAGAAACCUUACCAGGUCUUGACAUAUACUCGAAUACCGUAGAGAUACGGUAGUUCUUCGGAACGGGUAUACAGGUGUUGCAUGGUUGUCGUCAGCUCGUGCCGUGAGGUGUUGGGUUAAGUCCCGCAACGAGCGCAACCCCUAUCCUUUGUUGCUAACAAUUCGGUUGAGCACUCUAAGGAGACUGCCGGUGACAAACCGGAGGAAGGUGGGGACGACGUCAAAUCAUCA